GACGAACGCUGGCGGCGUGCCUAAUACAUGCAAGUAGGACGCAGUUGCGAACGGGUGAGUAACGCGUAGGUAACUGCCUAUUAGAGGGGGAUAACUAUUGGAAACGAUAGCUACUACCGCAUACUAGUAGAUGGACCUGCGUUGUAUUAGCUAGUAGGUAGGGUAAUGGCCUACCUAGGCGACGAUCAAUAGCCGGCCUGAGAGGGUGAUCGGCCACAUUGGGACUGAGACACGACCCAGACUCCUACGGGAGGCAGCAGUAGGGAAUCUUCGGCAAUGGGGGGAAGCCUGACCGAGCAACGCCGCGUGAGUGAUGAAGGUUUUCGGAUCGUAAAGCUCUGUUGUUAAGGAAGCGGUACUUAACCAGAAAGGGACGGCUAACUACGUGCCAGCAGCCGCGGUAAUUC
rnacentral:rRNA from 1 species